CUUUUAAAGGAUAACAGUAAUCCACUGGUCUUAGGAACCACCCAUC
rnacentral:tRNA from 1 species